UGGGGAAUUUUGCACAAUGGGGGAAACCCUGAUGCAGCGACGCCGCGUGAUUUAGAAGGCCUUCGGGUUGUAAAAAUCUUUUCUAUGGGAAGAAAAUGACAGUACCAUAGGAAUAAGGACCGGCUAAUUACGUGCCAGCAGCCGCGGUAAUACGUAAGGUCCGAGCGUUGUCCGGAAUCAUUGGGCGUAAAGGGUACGUAGGCGGGUAAGCAAGUUAGAAGUGAAAUCCUGUAGCUCAACUACAGUAAGCUUUUAAAACUGCUCAUCUUGAGAUAUGGAAGGGAAAGUGGAAUUCCUAGUGUAGCGGUGAAAUGCGCAGAUAUUAGGAAGAAUACCGGUGGCGAAGGCGACUUUCUGGCCAUAAUCUGACGCUGGGGUACGAAAGCGUGGGUAGCAAACAGG
rnacentral:rRNA from 1 species